UUUUGAGUUAGGCAUAAGGAUAGCAGUAUGGUUUGGUUUAAAAUCAGAUUUGAAUUAGGUAAAUUGUAGAAAUGGGCGGGCUGUAUGGCUCAGUUGGUAGAGCAUGGUGUUUGCAACGCCAGGGUUGUGGGUUCGAUUCCCACGGGGGACCAGUACGGAGAGAAAAAAUGUAUGAAAUGUAUGCAUUCACUACUGUAAGUCGCUCUGGAUAAGAGCGUCUGCUAAAUGACUAAUGUAAAAUGUGUAUGGCUUUGUGAACUAGUGACGACCAAAGUUAAGCGAGAUGAUUUAUACCAUUGAGAUCCUAUUUAAUGAAUAGAGGGUGCUAUGUCAUAUAAAAUCUAAAAGUUCCAGAAUAGCGUGAAAAUGGCAACCAUAGUACGGGACGAUAUUCAAGUAAUAAUAUGGAAUUCAGCUUCAGUGUAAAAAAGCCAACUUCGUCAGAUCUUUUGGUGUACGGAAAUAACAAAACAUGCCGAAAAAUUGUUGUGAUGUUCAAUGAACAUGUAACCAGGUCAAAAGUCCCGACCUACGGUUCGCAAUGCUCCCAAGUAGGGAAAUGGAGCCUGCGAGAAGAGCCCCGUUGCUUCAGUCUAUUCGGCGUGGGAGAUGUGGGGACCCGGUGUCCAAGUACGCUACACGCAGCUAUGUUUGUGGAAAACAUUUAAUCACAACUAAGACAUUUACGUUAUUUGGUAUAGUUCGUUUGUAACACCACUCACUACUUGUAGCCCAAUAGUCUAUUUUGUGUUGUUGAUCUUAGUUAGUUUACGUUCCGGUUGGGAUGGUAGCUAGCUAGCAUUCACUCAUGUGGCUGUUAGCGCCAUGAAAAGGGGCACGAGGGAAGUCCUAUUACGUUUUUCUAAGUAGUGAGGACACUAGGGAGCAGGCAAUGUUGACAAGUAAUCUUUAUACAUGAUAUACUUUGCUUAAAAUGUAAUUUACUAAAACAAGCAGACAAAAAGAAAGUAUUUGCUGUGAGCCAAUGGGGUAACCUAGAAAACUUUUUGUGAGUUUGACUUCCGGCCUGUUGCGAUAAAUCGCUUACUCAGGGAGGAGGAGAUUAUUCUAAAUAUGGCUCAAAUUGUUAUUACAUUUACAGAAUGUAAACGCUACAGCAAGGCGUUGUUGGGAAAAAUGGAGGAAGAAAUUAAAACGUUUUCCACAUAACUACAAAGCUGACGCUGGCUAGCUAGCUUCUUUUCAUUGAAAUAGCAUGGCGAGUUAGCUAGCUAGCAAUAGUAUUCUGUCAAGCCUGUAACUAAUGGUUGUUACGUUGUGGACAGAGCAAUAGUUCUUUGUACUUGUCAUUUGUUUGAGACAAACAUUAGUUUAGAACAUAAUUGUUUACUUUGUGUAUAUUUGUUGUGUAAUUGGUUGGCUUUGCUAGUUAGCAAGCUGAGAUGUAUUUGCUCGAGUUGGCUAAUUUAGCUAAUGUUUUAGGAGAACAGGUUAGCUCCCUGCAUAAUCUAGACAAUAAGAGAAUGGGGAAUAAGAUCUGGCUGUUGCAGUGCCCAGACUAGGUGAGAGCAAACUGCUACAGAGAUUAAGGAAUCUACAAAUUCUCUGUUGAACGAGCAACACAGAUGGAGGGGGAGGAAAACAGACCGCUUCUUUCUACAACACCUUCACCAAGUUAUACAAUGUUUGUUACAUCUGAAAUAAAUACAGAAUUAUUUUAGUUUAUUCUGUUGGAUGUAAUUUAGCAGGUCUAUAGUAUAAUGUAUUGUUUUGAAACAUUUUAUUAAAUAUCUAUUUAGUCAACUCACAUUAUUUUAGUGAACAUAAAAUAAUUAUGUUUUGCACUGUUACUUUUUACAUGCUGAAACAGUCUCAUUAGUUUUGAGCUAGAUUAUGAUUGGGGAAAUGUCUACUCCCCUUUUUAAAAUGUUGAUGAAUGAAAUCAGCACCGUUUCUAAUAGUUUGUUGCUACUGUCUGGUGAGGAAGUGGGCGAUAUGGAAUACAUUGGAGGAGGAAGGGAGAAUUAAUGAGAAAUCAGAACUUGGACAAUGACAGGGAAUACAUAGGUAAAUGUACAGCCUAUCGAUGACAAACGGUGCAGAGGUAGCCUUAAGAUAACAUUAGAUAUGUGCAUGUUAUGUACUGGACAGAUGGCUAGGCAGUUUUUUUUCAAAACAUUGGAUUACCGACUUGAGCGGUGACGUCUCAGUUUGCACCGCAUUUUCACAUGGACGUAGUAUACACUGAACAAAAAUAUAAAUGCAACAUGUAAAGUGUUGGUUUCAUGAGCUGAAAUAAAAGAUCCCAAACAUUU